rnacentral:tmRNA from 1 species
GGGGGCGUACCGGCUUCGACGGGGAACAAAGCGGUUCGAGGGUGCGUGUCGAGCUUGCGCUCGUAAAACGGCAAAUCACAACUGCCAACGACAACUUCGCACUGGCGGCUUAAUUGACCGCCACGUCCUGACCAUGGGCCCGAUUCACGACACGGGUCAGGGCGCCGCUUAAGUGAAUCGAACGAUGGGGGUGGUCCCGUCCCCCAUCGGGAUCGUCACCACGGGACUGGCGCCUGCGUGGGAGGCCCUCUUCCACAGCGCAGGGGCGAUGACCUGAAACGAGGGACACACACGUAGAUGCUCUCGGGACGCGUUUUCCGGACGUGGGUUCGACUCCCACCGCCUCCACCA